GAUGAACGCUGGCGGCGUGCCUAAUACAUGCAAGUCGAGCGAACAGACGAGGAGCUUGCUCCUCUGACGUUAGCGGCGGACGGGUGAGUAACACGUGGAUAACCUACCUAUAAGACUGGGAUAACUUCGGGAAACCGGAGCUAAUACCGGAUAACAUGUUGAACCGCAUGGUUCAACAGUGAAAGACGGUUUUGCUGUCACUUAUAGAUGGAUCCGCGUCGCAUUAGCUAGUUGGUAAGGUAACGGCUUACCAAGGCAACGAUGCGUAGCCGACCUGAGAGGGUGAUCGGCCACACUGGAACUGAGACACGGUCCAGACUCCUACGGGAGGCAGCAGUAGGGAAUCUUCCGCAAUGGGCGAAAGCCUCACGGAGCAACGCCGCGUGAGUGAAGAAGGUCUUCGGAUCGUAAAACUCUGUUAUUAGGGAAGAACAAAUGUGUAAGUAACUAUGCACGUCUUGACGGUACCUAAUCAGAAAGCCACGGCUAACUACGUG
rnacentral:rRNA from 1 species